GAGUUUCUUCCUGCUGACUGUCUGGAGUUUCCCUAUGAGCUGGUGUGAGGCACUGCUUCCUGUGGCUCAGAGAAAGACUCCAUGAGGGCCGAUGCACGUUGGGAACUGCACCCUCUAUUCUGUAAGGCACCGAGACAGGCCUAUGGAACCGUGUGCGGACUUGGGACUUGAGACCCUGCCUGAACAAAAAUUUCCAGGUUUCAAAAAGAAAAACGAAUGAAUGGAAACCAUCCUGGUGAGCUUGAUGUUGAGACCAAGUAACGUUCUUUGGUUGAACCCAAGAAAAGAGGGGAUCCCACGUAACCACGAGUCGGCGGAGAACACGGAGUGCGUUUGCCACCUAGCACUUCAGUAGCUCAUUUGUUCCUUCCACGCGUUUGGGGGUCUGUGACAGACUCUUCACCAUGGGCUGAGAGGCAUCUCUUAUUCAUGGGAGCCAGGGGACAACGAAGACAAGUUUGCCAUCAACUGAAGAUUAGACUGUUAAGAAUUGGCUCUCACUGUAUAAAAUAGCUACUUUCUCUGCCGCUGUUCUAUAAUAAGAAGUGGAUGGCUUCUGGUCUCAAACCAAAUGUUUUUAUCCCAAACAAUGGCUGAAAGAGGUGACCAGGAAGACCGGAGACUUUAUGACCAAGGUAGAACAGAGACUAUUAGUGCUAGCAAUGCAAGGGCUUCUGAAACAAUUCCAGUGAGUAGACUCAGAAUGCAAAAUCUGAAGUAAAUAUGCACAGGGUCUGGAAAAUAAGAAGACUAAGAAGGAAGGCAAUGUGAAGAGAGGGCCACGUUCCAAGUGUUGCCCUGAAGGAAGAUCAGAAAUCAAUACACAUUAUUCUCCAAGCCUAGGCACUCUGGAGCUCUGCAGAAUGACCUUCAUGUUGUCUUGUCAACUGGAAAAAAAACUACUCUGCAAAACUGCUGGGGACUUUAAUCUUGAGAUAAUUUUUUUUUUUAAACUGACAAAAGGAGGUUGAUUCCUUCCCUAUCGCUAUACAACUGAUAAAAAGGAAACCCACAGUGAAUUUUACGGUUGAAGGAGGUCUCUUAUGCUUCAAACCAAGCUUAACAGCAGUUUUUAUAAAAUUACCAUAUUACUUAUAUUUCACUCUUAAUAUUAUCUUAAAAUUUUUUUUGAUGUUUAUUUUUGAGAGAGACACAGACAGACAGACAGACAGAGCAUGAG